GUGCCAGCAGCCGCGGUAAUACAGAGGUCCCGAGCGUUGUUCGGAUUCACUGGGCGUAAAGGGUGCGUAGGUGGUUGUGCAAGUCUGAUGUGAAAUCUCCGGGCUCAACCCGGAAAUGGCAUUGGAAACUGCAUGGCUAGAGGAUUGGAGGGGGGACUGGAAUACUUGGUGUAGCAGUGAAAUGCGUAGAUAUCAAGUGGAACACCAGUGGCGAAGGCGAGUCCCUGGACAAUACCUGACACUGAGGCACGAAAGCUAGGGGAGCAAACAGGAUUAGAUACCCUGGUAGUCC
rnacentral:rRNA from 1 species